rnacentral:rRNA from 1 species
UUUAAGGUUUGAUCUGCCCUAUGAGGAAUUAAAUGGCCGCAGUAUUUUGACUGUGCAAAGGUAGCAUAAUAAUUUGUUUUUUAAUUGAAAGCUGGAAUGAAAGAUUGGACGAGAAAAUUACUGUCUCAGUUUUAUUUAGUUAGAAUUUUAUUUUUAAGUGAAAAAGCUUAAAUUUUUUUAAAAGACGAGAAGACCCUAUAGAGUUUAAUAAUUAUUUAAUUAUAAGUUUUAAAGAAUUUUUUUAUUUAUAUUUAGUUAUUUAUUUUGUUGGGGUGAUAGAAAAAUUAAUUUAACUUUUUUUAUUUAAGAACAUUAAUUUAUGAUUAUUUGAUCCAUUAUUUUGAUUAUAAGAUUAAAUUACCUUAGGGAUAACAGCGUUAUUUUUUUUUAGAGUUCCUAUCGAAAAAGAAGAUUGCGACCUCGAUGUUGGAUUAAAAUGAAUUUUUGGUGAAGAAGCUAAAAAAUUGGGUCUGUUCGACCCUUAAAAUUUUACAUGAUCUGAGUUUAAACCGGUGUGAGCCAGGUUGGUUUCUAUCUUUAAAUAAGAAGAAUAUUUUAGUACGAAAGGACCAAAUAUUUAUAAUAAUUAUUAAAUUUUGUUUAAUAUUA